CCUACGGGGGGCUGCAGUGGGGAAUCUUGCGCAAUGGGCGAAAGCCUGACGCAGCGACGCCGCGUGGAGGAUGAGGCCCUUCGGGGUGUAAACUCCUGUUGCCCGGGACGAACGCCGUGUAUAGACACGGGUGACGGUACCGGGUGAGGAAGCACCGGCUAACUCUGUGCCAGCAGCCGCGGUAAUACAGAGGGUGCGAGCGUUGUCCGGAAUUACUGGGCGUAAAGGGCGCGUAGGCGGCCCGGUGCGCGUGCCGUGAAAGCCCGGGGCUCAAC
rnacentral:rRNA from 1 species